AACACAUGCAAGUCGAGGGGCAGCAUAAAAGUAGACAAUACUUGGUGGCCGACCGGCGCGACGGGUAGAGUAACGCGUAUGCAACCUACCUAUCAGAGGGGAAUAACCCGGCGAAAGUCGGACUAAUACCGCAUAAAACAGGGGCACCGCAUGGUGAUAUUUGUUAAAGAAAUUCGCUGAUAGAUGGGCAUGCGUUCCAUUAGGUAGUUGGUGAGGUAACGGCUCACCAAGCCGACGAUGGAUAGGGGAACUGAGAGGUUGGUCCCCCACACUGGUACUGAGACACGGACCAGACUCCUACGGGAGGCAGCAGUGAGGAAUAUUGGUCAAUGGGCGGGAGCCUGAACCAGCCAAGUCGCGUGGAAAAGGAAGAAGGAUCUAUGGUUCGUAAACUUCUUUUGCAGGGGAAUAAAGUGCAGGACGUGUCCUGUUUUGUAUGUACCCUGAGAAUAAGGAUCGGCUAACUCCGUGCCAGCCGCAGC
rnacentral:rRNA from 1 species